AGACCCGAAACCCGGUGAUCUAGCCAUGGGCAGGUUGAAGGUUGGGUAACACUAACUGGAGGACCGAACCGACUAAUGUUGAAAAAUUAGCGGAUGACCUGUGGCUGGGGGUGAAAGGCCAAUCAAACCGGGAGAUAGCUGGUUCUCCCCGAAAGCUAUUUAGGUAGCGCCUCGUGAAUUCAUCUCCGGGGGUAGAGCACUGUUUCGGCUAGGGGGCCAUCCCGGCUUACCAACCCGAUGCAAACUGCGAAUACCGGAGAAUGUUAUCACGGGAGACACACGGCGGGUGCUAACGUCCGUCGUGAAGAGGGAAACAACCCAGACCGCCAGCUAAGGUCCCAAAGUCAUGGUUAAGUGGGAAACGAUGUGGGAAGGCCCAGACAGCCAGGAUGUUGGCUUAGAAGCAGCCAUCAUUUAAAGAAAGCGUAAUAGCUCACUGGUCGAGUCGGCCUGCGCGGAAGAUGUAACGGGGCUAAACCAUGCACCGAAGCUGCGGCAGCGAACGUAUCACCCAAGACAACUUUACGGAGUUGACGAUUGACGGAGCGAAGCGACGUCAAAGCGUUCAUUAAAGUCGAGUUGGCUUAGGGAUACGUUCGUUGGGUAGGGGAGCGUUCUGUAAGCCUGUGAAGGUGUGUCGUGAGGCAUGCUGGAGGUAUCAGAAGUGCGAAUGCUGACAUAAGUAACGAUAAAGCGGGUGAAAAGCCCGCUCGCCGGAAGACCAAGGGUUCCUGUCCAACGUUAAUCGGGGCAGGGUGAGUCGACCCCUAAGGCGAGGCCGAAAGGCGUAGUCGAUGGGAAACGGGUUAAUAUUCCCGUACUUGGUGUUACUGCGAAGGGGGGACGGAGAAGGCUAUGUUGGCCGGGCGACGGUUGUCCCGGUUUAAGCGUGUAGGUGUGUGUUCCAGGUAAAUCCGGUUCACUUUAACACUGAGGCGUGACGACGAGGCACUACGGUGCUGAAGCAACAAAUGCCCUGCUUCCAGGAAAAGCCUCUAAGCAUCAGGUAACACGAAAUCGUACCCCAAACCGACACA
rnacentral:rRNA from 3 species